AGGUUCUCGUCAAGAUGGCGCUGUGAGCAGACGUUGAACUCGCCUCCUCCCACGAACACAACCAGGUUACAACAAUUUUGGGAAGAAUCACCCUGGAUUGAAAACUGAAAACUGGAUAAAAAGAACCCCCACGACAAGGGACAGUCCUGACAAAAGCAGAAGAGGCAGUAACUCCAGCCAGAGAGGAAAAAAGCCACCUUUGGGAGCAGUGGAGAUUCUCAGCUGGCCAGGGGGGAGCCAACUUAAGGUGAAGAUACCAAGACCCCAAGAAGGUGAAGAUCUUACCGAAGGAUUUAUGGGGGAUGAUGAGAAUUUAAGGUGCAUGACAAAACGCAAAAUAAAAAUAGAAACAAUGCAGAUUGUACAGCAAGAGCAGAAUCAGAAAAGGUUGAGAAAUGAUGGUAAAAACUGCAUUGCCAUAAAGAUAAAUACUGUGUCUGAAGAGGCCUACAACUUUGGCUAUGUGCUUACCAGAAGCCAAAUCACAAAGUGAAAUGUUGCAGUCGUCUAGAUUCUCUCCCUCUCCCCAUCCCCUUCCCCUCUGAUAACCACCAAUUUGUUCUCCUUGUCUAUGUAUUUGUUUAUCUCCCACAUAUGAGUAAAG
rnacentral:lncRNA from 1 species